UAGAUUAGACAUAUCAUAGUUUCUUCUAUNNNUGAUAAGUGUAAGCAUUCCACCUCAAGAGUAAUUUGGCAACAUUGGAACUGAAAUCAUUAGACCGUUUCUGAAACCAGUAGUGAAGUAUGUUAUUUAAUUUGAUUACCCGCAAAAAACCUUACCACAAUUUGAAUAUUUAUACCCUUUUUAUUUUUUCAGAUGAGUCUGGGAAAACUUAAAAAAUAUAUUUACAAGCGUUGCACGGCUGUCUUCAGUUAAUGUCGUGAGAUUCUGGUUAGUUCCAUUAAUUAACGUAGACCCUUACUUUAUUUUUUAUAUAGAGUUGUUCCCCACUAGAUUGGAUAAGAUAACAGGGACUAAGACAAGUCA
rnacentral:rRNA from 1 species